CCGGAUAUUAUGUAUUAAUUCAAAGAAAAGAGUACUGAUGUUAAUAUGGGUUUAAUAGCCCCUUUAUCUAGAUGGGUUUAUUGUUAAAAAAUUGUCUAUAUAGACGUGGAAAAAUGUUAAAUGAGGUUAAAUGGAGGAGCCUAAUUAUCUCAAAUGAAUAUCUAUUUAAAUCCGUUUAUUUUUAUUUUUCUUAAUUUAUUUUUGCCAAACCGGUGUCGUUUAUGUGUAGGAUUUCACAAUCAAAGCUCGAAAUCAGAUUUGUCUAUCUUCUUCACAUGUGACACAAUCUCAAGCUAUGGUCCUCUUGAAUCUUCGAGCCUCGACGAAUUUCAGUGAUUCCCAAGUCUCUAACUUGAAGGAAAUAGAAGAAAUCUUUUCUCAUCGGAGUUUGAGUUUACAUCUCAAUGAUUUUACUAGUUGUUUUACUAGUUUGGGGACAUACCCUUGAUACUGGUGCUUGGGGACAUACC